rnacentral:rRNA from 1 species
GAGCGGCGAACGGGUGAGUAACACGUGAGUAACCUGCCCUGGACUUUGGGAUAACCCUCGGAAACGGGGGCUAAUACCGGAUACCUCCUUCUGGCCGCAUGGUUGGUUGGGGAAAGUUUUUCGGUCUGGGAUGGGCUCGCGGCCUAUCAGCUUGUUGGUGGGGUGAUGGCCUACCAAGGCGACGACGGGUAGCCGGCCUGAGAGGGCGACCGGCCACACUGGGACUGAGACACGGCCCAGACUCCUACGGGAGGCAGCAGUGGGGAAUAUUGCACAAUGGGCGGAAGCCUGAUGCAGCGACGCCGCGUGAGGGAUGACGGCCUUCGGGUUGUAAACCUCUUUCAGCAGGGACGAAGCGCAAGUGACGGUACCUGCAGAAGAAGCGCCGGCCAACUACGUGCCAGCAGCCGCGGUAAGACGUAGGGCGCGAGCGUUGUCCGGAUUUAUUGGGCGUAAAGAGCUCGUAGGCGGCUUGUCGCGUCGGCUGUGAAAUCCCGUGGCUCAACUGCGGGCUUGCAGCCGAUACGGGCAGGCUAGAGUUCGGUAGGGGAGACUGGANUNCUGGUGACGNAAAAAAANGCCAAA